AGACUAUCAAUCAUUAUUAGUCACAUUGGUGAGUAUGCAUAUGUGUGUGUGUGUGUGUGUGUGUGUGUGUGUGUAUAUAUACACACACUAUACACACACACACACACACACACAUAUAUA
rnacentral:miRNA from 11 species